rnacentral:rRNA from 1 species
UAGUCCACGCCGUAAACGAUGUCAACUAGCCGUUUGGAGCACUUAGCUCUUAGUGGCGCAGCUAACGCGAUAAGUUGACCGCCUGGGGAGUACGCCGGCAACGGUAAAACUCAAAGGAAUUGACGGGGGCCCGCACAUGCGGUGGUGCAUGUGGUUUAAUUCGAUGAUACGCGAGGAACCUUACCUGGGCUCUAAUGCGCGCGCUAUCCGGUGAAAGCCGGAGUUCCUUCGGGACGCAAAGCAAGGUGCUGCAUGGUUGUCGUCAGCUCGUGCCGUGAGGUGUUGGGUUAAGUCCUAUAACGAGCGCAGCCCCUGUUGUUAGUUGCCAGCGAGUCAUGUCGGGAACUCUAGCAAGACUGCCGGUGCAAACCGCGAGGAAGGUGGGGAUGACGUCAAAUCAUCACGGCCCUUACGUCCUGGGCCACACACGUGCUACAAUGGCCGGUACAGAGAGCAGCCACUAUGUGAAUAGGAGCGAAUCUAUAAAGCCGGUCACAGUUCGG